UACGUAGGGUGCAAGCGUUGUCCGGAAUUAUUGGGUGUAAAGAGCGUGUAGGCGGCCCGAUUAGUCCGCUGUGAAAGUCCAGGGCUCAACCCUGGAAUGCCGGUGGAUACUGUCGGGCUAGAGUCCGGAAGGGGCGAGUGGAAUUCCUGGUGUAGCGGUGAAAUGCGCAGAUAUCAGGAGGAACACCCGUAGCGAAGGCGGCACACUGGGCCGAUACUGACGCUGAGGAGCGAAAGCGUGGGGAGCGAACAGG
rnacentral:rRNA from 1 species